rnacentral:rRNA from 1 species
UACGUAGGGGGCGAGCGUUGUCCGGAUUUAUUGGGCGUAAAGAGCGUGUAGGCGGCCAGGUAGGUCUGCUGUGAAAACUCGAGGCUCAACCUCGAGACGUCGGCGGAAACCAUCUGGCUAGAGUCCGGAAGAGGAGAGUGGAAUUCCUGGUGUAGCGGUGAAAUGCGCAGAUAUCAGGAAGAACACCCGUGGCGAAGGCGGCUCUCUGGGACGGUACUGAUGCUGAGACGCGAAAGCGUGGGGAGCGAACAGG